ensembl:lncRNA LINC02223 long intergenic non-protein coding RNA 2223
GCUAGUGAGCAAAAAUGAAUACUAAUUCUAGCUGCUCCUGAGUCCAGAGAGCGGCACACUCCAUCUCAGUGAAGUAGCUCUUUCUGAGAUUCCUCAUCCGUGGGGCUUUUCAGUUAAUCAAGAGAGUAUGUCCAGGCUAGUCUACUUAGGCAAGGUCGAGGCAAGAGGAAGCUAAAUGGCUCUGCCUGAAAAGAGAAGACAGGAAUUUUUAAAGUGGCCUAGUCCAAAGACGUUUACAUCCUGGAAGAGAACUUGCUGGCUUUUCACCUCAGCAUGUAUGGGCCAAACUAAUAUAACAAGAAGUCUUGAGAGGAGUCAGCGGCCAAGCUCCAUGUCUUGCAGCCAAACAAUGCUGUGGGAUGGAAGGUGGGAUGUCAUGUGUCUGGUUUACAGCACUCACGUAUCAGUUGGCAGUUAACGGAAGUGCUACUGAUUGUAACAGUGGAAGCAAUUUGAAAUGAAAUACAACACUUAAAGCAAAUGAAACGGAAGUGAAUGCCAGCAGUAAAUGGCAAGAAGAAAUCCAGUUCAGUGUGUUCCUCAGAAAUCUUGCCUCUUGGGACUAAAUGCUGCAAAUGUAACUCUUAUCCUUGUUUUUCAAGUUUUACCAUCUCAAAGCUAUCCACUUUAUAUUAAAUUAGUUCUGUUAUAUUAUGUCAAUUUGUAUUCUUAAGAGCACAAGUUUGGCCUCAAAUAGACCUGAGCUGAGAUCCAAUUCUUUAAUUUAUCUGUGUUGUUUUCUUUUUCCUUAGCUUUAAAGUGGAAAAAAUGCUACUUACAUUUUAUUUAUGAAGGUUAAAGAUAAAGUGUCUGAUAUGGGACCUAUCAUAUGUGGUAGGCACUUAGUACAUGGUAGCAAUUAUGAUUAUUAUAUCUGAUAUUAGCAUUAUUAUUAUGAUUUGUUUUAAUCUUCAAAGUAUCAACUGUUUCUAUUACAUUUGUGGUAAAUACUCCUAAACAGAGUUUUUAAGUUCAAGUGUCCAAAGUUGUUAGAAACAAAGAUAUUUGACAAUAACAUAAUCAUAUCACAUGACCUCAUGAUUUAACCACCUCCCAAAGUUGCCACCUCCUAAUAUUAUCACCUUGGGGGUGAGGUUUCAACAUAUGAAUUUUAGAGGAACAUAAACAUUCAGACCAUAGCAAUAAUGAAGAUAAAGAGUUUAUUCAUAGAUAAAUGUUAAGAAGUAGAUACUGUUUGUUAGGAGAAGUGUCCACAGUUAGGGAGAAGUUAGAGGUCUGGUGUCAUCUUUGAUUUUUGUGUUUCUUCCGGAACCCUGUUGCCUGGCUUCCUACACUAUUUCUUGUGUCUUUUUCUUGUAGCUAAACUUGAACAUUUUUUCCUUGAGUACCAUUUUACAAUCAACUGUGCUUUUAUGCAGUGGACUUUCACUGAAUGUCCCCUAUUGGAAAUUUUAACAACAAUUUAACAACUAUUUAUUUGAUACUUUCUGUAUAACCAAUAUUAUUGAACAUCCUAGGAACACAUACAUAAAUAAAACUUGAUCUCUGCUUUCAGAAAAGUUGAUCUAUUUGGAAAGAUAUCAAGAAAAUAAACAACCUCAACAUUAUCACAUGGUUUUAUAAUAACAUAAUUUCUUAGGGGUUCUGUGGUUGGGGCAGGAAACACCAGGAACUGUCUUGGAGGAAGCUGAAGUUUUUUUGCAGUCUUUAUGAAUGAAAAGUUUAUAAGAAGGACAAGUAUAGAACUAGAGUUUCUGGAAUUGGGAACAUCAUAAAUAAAAGUACAGAUGCAGAAUAUCACCAGGUAAUAUGUGGAAAACUGAAAUUGGCUUGUAAAUUAUAGGGUUGGGGGUAGUAAUUGAUAAAGCCAUAGAGAUGCACAGAUGCCCCAUGUGAGAGGGUCCUGUGUAGAAGGCUGAAGUGCAUGCAUUUCAUCUCAAAGACAAUGAGAAGCUCCUGCAAGGGCUGUUUAAGUGAAGAAUAAUGUGCCAUUUAGAGUUUAUAAGUACUGAGUAGCAGUCAUUCACAAUUCAAACCAAUUCUGAUUCAUACUAACAAAAUUGAGAGUUCAGAAGUAAUUUGGCAAACAUAGAAAGACGUAUUCAAAGUCAAGAUUCAAUUCUCCACAUGUAUCCCAUUCCAUUCGCUCAAGCCCUGGAUCCCUGAGAGAAAUCCAGUGAAACUGCCCUUCACUAAGGAUUUGAGAAAUACAGUGUUGAGGAAAUCACAUGGUCUUUUUAUAAUAGUGAUUUACUCAUUGUUUUCUCCAAGGUAGAAAUGCUGGUGGCAAACACUAUGAAUAAAAUGGGUUGUUACUUUGGUGUUUACCAAAGAGAAGGGCCUAAGACAAAUGCUGUUAUUAGGGAAUGCAAACCAGGAAAGUAGGGGUAAGACAGAAAAGGAGGGAGAACAAAUAUCUGAGUGUUAAUAACAGGCUGGCAGUAAAACUGAUAGCUGGAUCUUGUAGGAGUAUGCUGUCAACUACAUCUCAGGACAGUACAUCUUGGAGGAUGAAAGAAGAAUUUAUUCAUCAACUACUGUCUCCAUUGUAUUCUCAUUGUGUGUCCCUAACACUAUCUACUUGGGUUUGCAUCUUAAAAUCCACCAGGGAAGCCCUGGGUGGGAAAUGAAGCAUAUGUAGGGUAAUGGCAUGAGGGAAUGUACUAUUGGGUUAUACUUACAUGAAGUCAAUAGAACCCAUACAGAUUGAGCCACUUCUAUUGUGGCCAGGUGUGGGUGGUGGUGAUCAACAGCCCUGAGGUUGAGACAAAUCUGAAGACUCUCAUAUAGACACCCUAUGGUCAAUGGGGAUGAAACAAUCACAGUGUGCAGAGACUGUGUUGGAGCACAUUCGUCUUCAAUAGCUAAGUGGAUGUGGUGUUUAAAGCAGAGGGUAGGACUGGCAUUACCAUCACAUCUCUGUGGUUUGUAGGAUCUGCUGAGUUCUUUCACACUGGCUAGUUGGUAGUAAGGUAUCUAGGAUUGUUUCUGAUAGUCCUUAUGUUCUUCUUCAGUUGUUUAAAUAUAGGAAUUCCAGCUGUCACGCAUAGAGAUCUGACUUGAGUAAACAUGAUCGAGAUUAUAUACACCUUUUCCCAGUAUCAGAUGAAGGCUCAGGGUGGUCAUAGACAUAGACACUUUGAAGGAAAAAAAACCAAUUGGGUUUCCUGAAACAGGGCUUCAUGAUGGCUGAGUAGAGGCAUUCAGUACUUCCCUCCCUCACAAAAAACAAAAUUGUGAGGAGAUCAUUAUACUUCAAAUAGAACAUCUAAGAGAGAACGAUGCUGGAAUUAAACAGAGAAGUGACAGGAAACACCUAAGGCAAGAAAGGAGAGGAAAGUGAGGAAAUCUGCCCACCUAGGAUCAGCCAGGAAUCUGGAGAGGCUUCCGAUCCAGGGAAAGAGUAAAUGAGUGACCUUCAGUGGUUCAUAUUUCCACCACAGACUCUUGUAAACCUUGCCACAAAAGAAACUGUCAACCCAUACGGGCCCUGAGACUAAGAUAGGUGGCUUCCUGUAGUCAGGAGCAUCAUGGAUUGCUCCAAAGAGGGAUCUCACACCAGGUUCCACACCUGCCUCCUGAGUCCUGAGAAGCUAUAGAAAGGCACUAUUUUGAGAUCCCAGCCCCUACCAAAUUGCAUCUUACCCUGGGGCCCAAUAGCCCUUCAUCUCCACAUCCUUGGAGCCCAAUUACCACCACUGAAAGCAACCCCACCUUCCCCAGCAGCAAGACUGAAGCAUAGCCAGUGCCACCCAAUCUGAACAAUCAACCAGGAGCCUAGGGAUCACCCCACCCUUGCCUACCACAGCCAGCACCCACAUGUCCCACUGGAGAAACUGAGGACUGGUCUCCUGACCUGGUUUCCAUCAUCCCCCACCCAGCAUCAGACUCCUAGGUGUUACCCUACUUAUUCACUACAAUUGGCAACUUAGCACUCCCCAUGAGGGCCUGAUGAUGGGCCCAACCAACCUGUUGCUACCACAAUAGCUGGCACCCACCCUCAUGCACCACAUCCAGGCCUAGGAACUGACAUGCACAGCUCAUUGCAGUCACUGCUAACACCAAUGUGGACCCCUUGGGAACCAGAAGAUUGUUCAAUAAUUGCUACUGCCAUUUCCCAUGUCAUGUCUAAUAUUCAAGAACCUAAGGACCUUCUCACUCAGCCAACUUCUGCCACUCCUCAGCACCUAAACAAGCUGCCUGGAGGCCCAGGAAUUAGACUGCCUUGAUUCAAUAACAUGAGUGACAGCAAGUGCCAUCUUGGGGCCUUAGGACAGCCAGGCUUGGGCCCCACUGGGCCACCACCGGGACCUGAGGACUGGUCAACUGAUGUCCCUGUCCCCAGCAAAAGUUUACCCCUAGAAACCAUGCCCUAAGUCAUUGAGGAAAUCAAAGACACCACUGACACUUUUUACAGCCAAAUAAAUCAUGUGGAGACUACACUACAGCACAAACCCAGAAUAAAAGCCAAAGUGCCCUACCCACCAUAGUUACAUCUUCAGGAAAAAGUUAUCCUAUAAGAAAGAAAACUUUAAAAACUGAAAAAAAUUACACCAGAUGCACAGGUAUGAAUGUAAGCACAAAAGAAACAUGAAAAAACAAGAAAAUAUGAUACCUCCAAAGAAACACAAUGAUUCUGCAACGAGAUUCCAAUGAAAAAGAAAUGUAUAAAAUCCUAGAUAGAUAAUUCAAAAUAAUG